GGAAGAGGAGAGCCGGAGCGGUGAUGCAGAUGGAGAGAGACGGGGUGAAAGGCUAUAUGCGGCCAGCUGAAGGGAGCUGAGUGACUGGCGGAGGAGGAGGCCAGAGAGCUGAGCUAGGGGAGCCACGGAUACCGCUAACCUGAUCCAUCUCCCGGAGACUGAUGAACGGAGGCAGGCGGGCGAUGAGCUGUUGUGACGGAAAUAACCCCAGCUGUAACCAGAGCUGCUAAUGAUGCUGCAGGUUCCAAAGGACAAGAUGUCCUAGCCUGCACAAACUUCUGUCCUUCUGCAAGUGCUGACAACUCGCCAUAAAACCCAUGCAACUCAGGGGAAAUGGAGGCUUGUGUUGCGUCAUAUAUUGGUUUCGCACUGCUGAGUUCCACGCUUCAUAUAUGAUCGCAAACAUUUGGGUACAUCAGCUGACUUAAUGAAUCAAAAGAGAAAACCGUGAAGGACCUCUCUCCAAUGGCAAGGCUCUAAAAAGACACAAAGACCUUCUCGGCCUCUGGCCACUGUUAGUGAAGCCUCGGAUGGUGCUGAUGCUGGCCCAUCCACACACGUAUUGCCUACGCGGAAGCGAAGUCUGGAGGUGUCUUCAAGAGAGGCACAAGAGCCUCCACCACAACGAAGAAUCUCAAUGCCGACAACAUUCUUCAGCCACGUCAGCCAGGACAACUGCAUGAAUCGGACAAUGAGGAACCAUUUACCCUCAACCUCACUGCAAUACCACCCAAUGACCAAACAUCCUCACAUUUUGCUACUCCGCCCACUCAACAAACACCUGAGCAGGACAGAAGCACAACCACACUUAGAACACAGGCUCAAGACCAGGCUUUUUGGGACAGCUGGUCCUCCCAGCAAGCCAAUAAUUUAGAAUGUUUGCGAAGGCAAACACAAUCUAUUUCAAGUAUAGGCCAUCACAUACUAAGACUCGCCAGAAGCAACAGCAGACAAACUGCAGAACUAACCAGGAUGGCCAACACCCUAGAAUUAUUGAGGGCAGGCAACAAACGUAUGAUAGACACAUUUCAAUGAGUCAUAGAUGACAAUCACAGGCUCCAUCAAGCCUACUUGCAGAUCAUAACUGCAACACAAAAUACCCAAGACACCAUGGUCGGAAUCAUGGAGAACCCCAUGUCUGCCACAAGAGACUUAAAUUUAACACUUACAACCCUUACCCAACAUUUCAGUCAUCAAGGGGAGCAGACAAGUUCAAGUUCCUCAACCACAACCCCCUUAGUGACACCUGUAACGUCCCCACCCAGACGUUCUGACCGAACAUAACCAGACACCAGUGUGAAUGGGCCAGCCAGCUCAAGAGG